CUGUGCGAAUUUCGCGGCAUUUCGAGGGGGCCCCGCGGUGAAUCCCCCCCCGUACGCGCCCCUUUUUUUUGUGAGGUAAUUUUUGUGUGAAAAGUCGCUAAAAAGGGUCGGUUUUUAAAAGGAUGGAAAGCCUCAAGGAAAUGGUGGGUUUAGACUGAAAAACUGAGGUGAUUUUUCUUCAAAAAUUCACCAAGGGGGCUGCGGCAGUCUCCUGGUUUAGGUUAAAAUUUGACCCGUUUGGCUUUAAAAAGCAGCUUAAAAGCUGCAAGGUUUGGCUUAGUGGUGAUUUUUGAGGGCAAAACAUGUAUCAUAUGCCGCAAAAAAUGGCUUUUACUGACCUUAAAGUGCUCUUAAAGCUCUCUGGACGUUUUAGUGCUAUCCUAGUUACAAAAAAUAAUCGAAAACUGAUUUUUAAUUUUUUUUUCUUCAAGAAACUGCCAAGAUUUGGUGAAGAGCAUCUUAAUGGAGGAAAAUGUUUUAAAAUGGCCUCUCCAGGCUGAGUUCCUGAGGAAAAAGCAGAUUUUGGGGGCAUUUCCAUUCAAAGAAAUGAAUUUUAGGCAUGCCAGAAGUGAGAAAAUAAAACGAAGCUGAAAUGAGGGGGAUGUGGUUAAUGACAAUUAAGAAUGGACAGAUUACUGCUGCUGAAAUAAUUAUUGAAGUUUAUCUUCCCCCUUUAUUUCCCUGAUAGAAGUCACAAUUUUUGUGAAAACCUGAUUUACCUUUUUGAUGGAAAAUGCUUUAAAAGGGCCCCUCCAGGACCAAUCCCUGUGAAAAAGCAGAUUUUGGAGUAUUUUCAUGCGGAAAACAUCAACUUUGGCCGUGUCAGGGUUGCUAAAAUAAUUUUAAAUUUUAAAUUAGGGCUUAAAUCAGCUGCAAAUGGGCGAAUUUUUGCUGUAAAAAUAAAAUUGAGAUAAAUCUUCCCUAAAUUCGGGGUCAUUUUGGGGGAGGCUUUUUCCAGCACCUGAAAUAGGGAGGAAAAAUGACAUUUGAGAGUCUUAACAGUGGAAUAACACAGAAAAUAAUAAUCAUUAAUAACAAUAUAGAAAUAGUUUCUCCUACAGGAAACGCCCCAAAAAUGUCGGAACAGCUCCUCCCACACCCCCAAAAUGCCUCAUUGGCUUCGUCAGCAGCUUUAAUUAGCUUUAGAGCAGCUUUAAUGAGUGAUAAUUAAAGGGUUGGGGAGGGGGGUUGUCCCCUCCUUACCAGCAAUUUUUGGGGUGUCAUUUCCGCCCGGAAACGCCUCGAAAUGCCCAAAAAAAUCGCCUAAAAGUGCCUAAAAAACGCUUAAAAAUGCCUAAAAAACGCCUAAAAAUGCCUAAAAAUGCCUCCACACAGUGGGCUUUUAUUCCAUGAGACUUCCAUGACUCGAUGUGGCCCAAAAUGGGGUGAAAUGCUGAAAUUUCGGUGCAUUUCUGUGAUUAAAAAGAAAAAAAAAAUAGUUCGAGCUGUGCUGGACCAGGGUGGGAAAAAAAAGGUUUUUAAAGGGUUGUUUUGGCUUUUUGUGGAACAAAAAUUGAUGAAAAUUAGGGUCUGUGCCCCCUCAAAAACUCCUUUUUCAUCCCUAAGUUUUUUAAACCUUUCGAGAACAAACGGCGCCUCUGGCAGCGGCCCAACCGCGUGACGCAGCAAAAGCAAAACCGGGAGCAAAAUGAAUGAAUAAAAACCUAACAAACAACAAAAAAAAGCUCUAAAACCACCCGGCAAGGUCGAAGCCAGGGAUUUUAGGGCAGAAUUGGCCAAACCGAUCGAAAAAUCGCCGUUAAAUUUAACUAUUUUCGUGCCGGACCGCGUGGCGCGGCCAAAGCCCCACGGCCGGGGGGGGGGGGGCGCGGUUUGUGAGGGAAAAAAAUCACAGAAAAGGGUAAAAAAACGGGAAAUAACGAGAAAAGAGGGUUUUUCACACUGGGGGCGGUGCGUUUUGGGGGGUGAUUUUGGGGGGCGCUGCCCUUUUUUGGCGAUUUUUGGGGACUAUUUUGUCGCCCCCGCGGGGGCGGUGCUGGGCCUGUUAUAAGGGAGGGCCCCGCGCCGGCAGCGCCCGGCCCUGGAGCAGCCCCGAAUCUGCCAAAAUUCGGCCCAAAACCGCUCGAUUUUAAGCCAAAAAGCUCCUAAAGCUGCUCGAUUUUAAAUAAAAAGCUCCGAAAAUGGCUUUAUAUUUUCUAGAGAGCUCCAAAAAUGGCUUUACUGCCGAUAAAAAGCUCUUAAAGCUGCGAGAAUUUCUAGAAGGAGCUCCUAAGGCUGCUUUAUUUCAUAAAAGCGGCUCUUAAAUCUUUAUUUAAAAGAAAAGAGACAAAAGUUUUUUCCUUUAAGGAAAACUGAGCUCUUGAAGCUGCUUGAUUUCAAUAGAAAUCCUUAAAUUGCGGCGAUUCCAUUAAUGGGAAAAGCCGGGGCAAGCCGGGGCACUUUUAAAUGAAAAAAAAUAUUGCCAAAAACCUUAAAAAAGCUCUUAAAGCUGGUUUUUCUUGAAACCGAAGCUUCUGAUGCUGGUUUUUAAGAAAUCGCUGCUUUCAAAGCCGAUUUCUGGGAGAAAUCGCAGCUCUUUAACUCUUACAAUUCCAUAAUGUGAUAUUUCCAAAAAGCCGGAGCGAGCUGGGGCGGUUUUAUUUUCAAAAAGAGCUUUUUAAGCUGCUUUCAUUUAAAGAAAGAAAAAAGCGCUUGAUACGCUGUUUUCUGCUAAAAAAGCUCCUAAAUUUGAAUUUUUUAAAAAAGCUCCUAAAGCUUUAAAAAUGUAAUUUUGUCCCCAGGCGGGGCCGGGCCGGGCAGCGCAGGCGGGGGCGGCCGGUUUGGGGUGAAAUGCGGCAUUUUCAGGCUCAGGAUGGAUUGAGAGGAGCCAAAUUUGAGGGAAAAGCAGGAAAAAUGAAGAGUGAAGAUGGAAUCGGCAGGGAAAUUAAAGUUUUUCUUCGCAGUGGCCCCAUCUGGGGGAAAAAAGGACUUUUUGGUAAAAUUGCGGCAGUUGGGCAGGGGAGGAGCAGAGAGAAGAGAGAAAAAAAAAGGAGAAAAAGACAGAAAAUAGAACAAAAAAAAGAGAGAAAAUAGAAGAUAUUCAGAAAAAAGAAAAUAGAAAAAUGUUAGAAAAAAGAAAAUAGAAAAAAGAAAAUAGAAAAAAGGAAAAUAGAAAUUGGAAAAAAAGAAAAUUUAAAAAGCGUAGAAAAAAUGGAAAAAAGAAAAUAGAAAAUAGAAAAAAAGAAGAAAAUUGGAAAAUAGAAGAAACUAGAAAAAAUUAAAGUAGAAAAUUGGAGAAAAUAGAAGAAGUUAGAAAAAAGAAAAUAGAACAAAUAGAAAAUAGAAGACUAUAGAAAAAAUUACAGAAAAAUUUAAAAUAGACUGGAAAUAAAUAGAAAAAAAUACAGUUGGAAAAAUACAAUUGGGAAAAAAGAAAAUAGAAAAAUAAGAAAAUAGAAAAAUAAGAAAAUAGAAAAUUAUAGAAUAAAAGAAAAACCCAAGUUCUGAAAAUUUGAGAAGAUGGAAGUGAAAGAAAACAGGGAAAAUACGAAGAGAGAAAAAAAUAGAAGAGAAUAGAAGAGAGGAAAAAUGAGAGAAAAUCAAAGAGGAUUUAGAGGAGAAAAUAGAAGCGAAAAAUAACGAAAAAAAAAGAAGGAUAAAGGGAGAAAAAGGAAGAAAAAUCCCGAUUUGGGUCCCGGAGCCAGGAAAAUUGAGGAUUUUGAGGAAAAUCCCAAACGGAGCCAGAGGCAGCGGCCGGCCCCCGCCGGCCCUGCCCCCGCCAGAGGAGCCUCCGAGAGCCAGACUGGGGCAAAAAACCCCAAAACAGGGUCUGCAGGAACAGUAGGGAGCCAGAAAUUGGUAUUUUUUGCCGCUUUCACCCCAAAAUGGGUCACUCCAGGGAUGGAAGGGGAGGAGGGGGAGAUUUGGGUUUGGCCGCUUUCCCCACCCCCAAGAAAAAACCCUAAAAUUGCCUCAGAACGCGCUGCUGGCAGGGCCCGCCCCCAAGCUGGGAAUUUAACCAAAA